GCCUACCAAGCCUAUGACGGGUAGCUGGUAUAAGAGUAUGACCAGCCAGAGGGGCACUGAGACACGGGCCUCACCCCUACGGGGGGCAGCAAUCGGGAAUUUUGCGCAAUGGGCGAAAGCCUGACGCAGCGACGCCGCGUGAAGGAUUAAGGCCUUCGGGUUGUAAACUUCGUUGUAAGCACCGGCUAACUACGUGCCAGCAGCAGCGGUCAUACGUAGGGUGCAAGCAUUACCCGGUCUUAUUGGGCGUAAAGAGUUCUGUAGGCGGUUGAACAAGUUGGAAGUUAAAUACCUCGGCUCAACCGAGGUAGGGCUUUCAAUACUGUUUAGCUAAGAGGUGACUAGGGGAUAGCGGAACGCAUGGUGUAGCAGUGAAAUGCGUUGAUAUCAUGCGGAACACCAAGGGGGAAGCCAGCUAUCUGGGGUUAUCCUGACGCUGAGAGACGAAAGCGUGGGGAGCGAAACGGAUUAGAUACCCGUGUAGUCCACGCUGUAAACCAUGCCUGCUAGAUGCUCCGUUUUCGGAGUGUCGAAGCUAACGCGUUAAGCAGGCCGCCUGGGAAGUACGAUCGCAAGAUUAAAACUCAAAGGAAUUGGCGGGGACCCGCACAAGCGGUGGAGCAUGCUCUUUAAUUGGCUGAUAACCCAAGAACCUUACCAGGGCUUGACAUGCAUAAAGUAGUGAACCGAAAGGGGAACGACCGGUAUCCAGUCCGGAGUUUGCACAGGUGUUGCAUGGCUGUCGUCAGUUCGUACCGUGAGGCGUACCCUUAAGUGGGUUAACGAACGCAACCCCUACUGUCAGUUGUAUCACUCUGACGGAACUGCCUCGGUAACGAGGAGGAAGGUGGGGAUGACGUCAAGUCAGUAUUGCUCUUACGCUCUGGGCUAGAAGCAUGCUACAAUGGGGUCGACAGCGCGAAGCGAAGAGGCGACUCGGAGCAAAUCGCUAAACGACCUCUCAGUUCGGAUUGGAGUCUGCAA
rnacentral:rRNA from 1 species